rnacentral:rRNA from 1 species
UACGAAGGGGGCUAGCGUUGCUCGGAAUCACUGGGCGUAAAGCGCACGUAGGCGGACUCUUAAGUCGGUGGUGAAAUCCUGGAGCUCAACUCCAGAACUGCCUUCGAUACUGAGAGUCUCGAGUCCGAGAGAGGUGAGUGGAACUGCGAGUGUAGAGGUGAAAUUCGUAGAUAUUCGCAAGAACACCAGUGGCGAAGGCGGCUCACUGGCUCGGUACUGACGCUGAGG